GAUAGCUCUCUAUGGGAUGAUCGUGCCAAAGCCCAGCAGACGCUUCAGGCUUUGACUGACGUUAAAGAGAAAAUAAAACUUCUCAAUGACUUCAAAGCACAGGCUGAAGAAGCAGAAACCAUAGUUAAUCUCAUAGAGGAGAUGGACUCAGUCGAUACAGGGCUUCUUGAAGAAGCAGUUGGAGUCAUUAAAGAAUUGAGGAAGGCGUUGAACCUAUUUGAAUUAACGCAACUUCUUUCCGGCUCUUACGAUAAAGAAGGUGCUGUAAUCAGCAUCACUUUGAAAAUACACUAAUAUUUUAUUGUUCCUCAUAAUAAACCUCUAAAAACUUUUGUUC